rnacentral:rRNA from 1 species
GCACAAGCGGUGGAGCAUGUGGUUUAAUUCGACGCAACGCGAAGAACCUUACCUGGGCUAGACAACGGUGGACCUCCCCAGAGAUGGGGAUUUCCCUUCGGGGACUGCCGGAUCAGGUGCUGCAUGGCUGUCGUCAGCUCGUGUCGUGGGAUGUUGGGUUAAGUCCCUUAACGAGCGCAACCCCUAUCGUUAGUUGCCAGCGCGUCAUGGCGGGGACUCUAGCGAGACUGCCGGUGUCAAACCGGAGGAAGGUGGGGAUGACGUCAAGUCCUCAUGGCCCUUAUGUCCAGGGAUGCAAACGUGCUACAAUGGCGUGUACAGAGCGAUGCGAGGCCGCAAGGCGGAGCAAAUCGCAAAAAGCACGCCCCAGUUCGGAUUGCAGGCUGCAACUCGCCUGCAUGAAGCCGGAAUCGCUAGUAAUCGGAGAUCAGCUACGCUCCGGUGAAUACGUUCCUGAGCCUU